AACACUCUGUGAUGAUAUCAGAGGUUCACAGUCUCACUUUCAGUGUUUCUUUGUUUAGUCUGUAUGUUAACCAGUUUUGUUUUGUAUUUUAUAGUGUAAGCCUGAUUUAAUUGUGUUUAAAGUAUCAAGUGAAUCAACUAAAUCAACAAAAUCAACAGUCAGCUACUUAAUUAGAUUGUAAUGUUAUUAUGUUUGCUCAAAGUGAAUGUAAAUAUUUGCUUUGUAAAGUUGCUGUUACAUGAAAAUGUAUCACCAACAGACUAUCCAAUCCUGACUCUUCACUAUCACGUGUUUCCCGGCUUCUUUUAAUGGCGUCGUUACCCAAAAAAAACUGGUAAAUGUAAAAUGUUAUAAAUGUUAAUGUUUCAAGAUGAAUCAAAUUGGUUUACAAAUUUAAUUUCAAAAGUCAUCAACACCAACACCAUCUCUAACGGUAUAACUAACGUUAUUAACAUUCCCAUCAUUAUCAUUAGUGUAUUAUCAUUACAGUUAUGAGGAGAAACCAUUACCUUUUUACUGGUCUUACAAAUUUCUUGCAAUCUAAAGUUAGUCAAGUCAACCACAAACACACAACCCAAAACCAAAACCAAAACCGCCAUCAAAAACCAACAUAUCAACAACCACCAUGAACCAUCAUCAUCAUCAUUAAAUUUACUUUCACUGUUCGAGUUCAUAAACAUGGGAACACGCAGAAUCUACUCAAAUAGAUUGUCCUAUUAUCAUUCACCAGCAGCAUAAAAAUCAUCAUCAACAUGUUGAUUAUUUACAUUACAAUCUAAUGUUGCUUAACUCAUUUUGAUUAAUCUUUGGGUCAAGCAUUUUGGUACAACAUCAACGAUAAUUACUGGAUUUGGUGCUUUCUGCUGCUACCUGGCUUUACAUUAUCCAUCAAAGAUGAAAGAAAAAUGGUGUCAAUAGCAAUUUAUUCAAAGGAAUGGUCGUAAAUUAACAAUCUAACCAAUGUUUCCAACACAAUCAGGUUAAUGAAAGCUAACAAAUCAGUCCCUAGUUAAAGCAUCACUCAGCAACCCUGAAGAGGCUGAAACACUAUUUCAAGCAGAUUAGUAUUGAAAACGAGUGAUCCAAGAACUCAAGUCUGGCCAGAUUUUUGCUGCAAAACAAUUGAAAGAUGCUCCAGAUACCUGAUUUCAACUGAUUACACUUUCCUUUAUUAAUCAAAAUCCAUCGUUGAAGCAGACUCAAGCAAAAUUCAAGAGGACAAAAUAAGAAUGAAAAAAGUUGGUCAUUCAAAGGAUCUAGAGAUGAAGACUGAAAAGACAAAAUUGAACUUCAAGACUUUUGAUCGAUGAGACGAAAUUGCAGAUUUACAAUAUAAUUUGUAUUGAAAGAGUAAAGAGGAAAAAUCACGAUUACAAGAAUUUUUUAGAUUCCAUUCAUGAACAGAUUCAUUGAAACCUAUCAAUAUCAUAAUGAAGUAAACAAAAGGACAAUCACACCCAAGUCAAGCUAAAAGAUUAACAUUCCAUGAUUAUCUUUUCUCAAUCAAUAAUCACAUGGAAACAAAUGUGUCUUUGACUGAAUUUUUAUCCUAAAAAAGUAUGAUCAAAGCCAAACAAUAACAACAACCCAAAUCCAAUGGCAACUGUAAAUAUGAGUUAAUGGUUUACUGCUGUUAAUUUGGGAAUUAAAUCUUAUUAAAUGGUAUUAAUACAAUUAUUUAACGACAGUCAAUCAAAACUGAUUAUCAACUGGUACAACUUUAAUGGUUAAUGUUAAUCUUUUAAGAUGAACAUUGAUUUACAUUUGAAAUCAAGUUGGUAAAGUUAAAUAUAAACUGGAAACCAUUUUAACUGUAAAAAUACACAAAAUUGUUGGUGUAUAUUUUGUGAUCAACUAAUCAACUUCAAAAAAUUAGGUUUACAUCUUUGACUAUUUCAUUAAUCUAAAAUGCCUUUCCAUUAAGGUUUCAGUAAAUUGGAACUGAUUCAAGAAACAAAAAUCUAAAUCAAUUAUCAUCAAGACAUUUCAGUUUUACGUUUACCUUGUGUUUUUUGUUUUCCCUCUGGAUAGGUUCAAUAUGUUGAUCAUUGUGAGUUGACUUCAUACCAAGAAUAGACAUUCAGAUUAUGAGAGACAAAUUAAAAGUAAAGAGCAAAUCAGGGAAAAUUCAAUUACUCAGACUGAACGAGAGAAAAGAGUUUGAAAAAUUUUGAAACACCAAACCUUCAAUCAAUUGUAAUAUCAGUAUUUAAUCUUCUUGAUUGAAGUUUAGGUUUGAUCGUUUGAACAAACAGCAAUCAUAAAAGUGAAAUUAAAUCAUUUACUUGGGGUGAAAUGAAUGUA